rnacentral:rRNA from 1 species
GACGAACGCUGGCGGCGUGCUUAACACAUGCAAGUCGAACGGAACGGCCCCAUUGGGGGUACUCGAGUGGCGAACGGGUGAGUAACACGUGAGUAACCUGCCCUUGACUUCGGGAUAACAUCAGGAAACUGGGGCUAAUACCGGAUAGGAAUCCUUGCUCCCUGGUGGGGGUUGGAAAGCUUCGGCGGUGUUGGUUGGACUGGCGGCUUAUCUGCUUGUUGGUGGGGUAGUGGCUUACCAAGGCUUUGACGGGUAGACGGGCUGAGAGGGCGAGCGGCCACAUUGGGACUGAGAUACGGCCCAGACUCCUACGGGAGGCAGCAGUGGGGAAUAUUGCACAAUGGGCGGAAGCCUGAUGCAGCAACGCCGCGUGCGGGAUGACGGCCUUCGGGUUGUAAACCGCUUUCAGCAGGGGCGAAGCUUGUGGUGACGGUACCUGCAGAAGAAGCACCGGCUAACUACGUG